UACGUAGGGGGCGAGCGUUGUCCGGAUUUAUUGGGCGUAAAGAGCUCGUAGGUGGUUCGAUAAGUCGGGUGUGAAAACUCUGGGCUUAACCCAGAGACGCCACCCGAUACUGUCGUGACUUGAGUCUGGUAGGGGAGUGUGGAAUUCCCGGUGUAGCGGUGAAAUGCGCAGAUAUCGGGAGGAACACCAGUGGCGAAGGCGGCACUCUGGGCCAGUACUGACACUGAGGAGCGAAAGCGUGGGGAGCGAACAGG
rnacentral:rRNA from 1 species